rnacentral:rRNA from 1 species
CCUACGGGUGGCUGCAGUAGGGAAUAUUGGGCAAUGGGCGGAAGCCUGACCCAGCCAUGCCGCGUGAAGGAUGAAGGCCUUCGGGUUGUAAACUGCUUUUGUACGGAACGAAAAGACUCUGGUUAAUACCUGGGGUCCAUGACGGUACCGUAAGAAUAAGCACCGGCUAACUACGUGCCAGCAGCCGCGGUAAUACGUAGGGUGCGAGCGUUAAUCGGAAUUACUGGGCGUAAAGCGUGCGCAGGCGGUGAUGUAAGACAGAUGUGAAAUCCCCGGGCUCAACCUGGGAACUGCAUUUGUGACUGCAUCGCUGGAGUACGGCAGAGGGGGAUGGAAUUCCGCGUGUAGCAGUGAAAUGCGUAGAUAUGCGGAGGAACACCGAUGGCGAAGGCAAUCCCCUGGGCCUGUACUGACGCUCAUGCACGAAAGCGUGGGGAGCAAACAGGAUUAGAUACCCUUGU